rnacentral:lncRNA from 1 species
GCCUCAGCCUCCAGAUCCACUGGCAUGACAGGUGUGUACCACCCUGUUUCCCUCCAUUGUCACGCCUCCAAAUAGCUGCCCGAAUGGGUUAUUUCUCCAGAGAAAUGCAACACCCUUGUCAUAAAACCUCAGAAAACAAGUGGCUUACCUCCCUGCGGCUCAGCAGACUGGUGCAGGGUGAGAACGCGGUUUCCAUAGCAACCUGGUCUGUGGCCCAGCCGGGCUCCCUGCCUGUGAGUCAGCCCCCAGCGUGUUGCCUGUUUUCUUGGAUCAGAGUGAGUCAACACUUGGAGGGCUCCUGGGAGAUCCCGUGUCCUCUCGUGGGCACAACCAAGAGAAAGACAAACCCCACGUGGGAUCAGACCCCAGGCUGAGCACAGAGGCUGGCCUCCUCCGGGGAGUCCGACGUGCCCAGAGACCACUGUGUCUGGGAGCCCUUAG